AUGCAGGAUCAGUUAUGGGCCGGCUGUGUCAGUGCUGGUCUGUCGUUCCCCCUGCACAAAUAAACCUGUUUCCUUCUAUCCCUGUGUGUUUACAUCCCACAGCUCACAGGGACGCUGGUCUCAGACAU
ensembl:snoRNA SNORA63 Small nucleolar RNA SNORA63